UACGGAGGGUGCAAGCAUUGAUCGGAAUUACUGGGCGUAAAGGGCGCGUAGGCGGUAGGAAAAGUCAGAUGUGAAAUUCCGGGGCUCAACCCCGGAGCUGCAUUUGAAACUCUCUUGCUAGAGUACAGUUAGGGUAAACGGAAUUCCACGUGUAGCGGUGAAAUGCGUAGAUAUGUGGAAGAACACCGGUGGUGAAGACGGUUUACUGGGCUGUAACUGACGCUGAGGCGCGAAAGCAUGGGGAUCAAAC
rnacentral:rRNA from 1 species